CGCUGGGCUCCGAGGUGCCGGCUGAGCCCUGCGACGGGGGUACUGGCAGAAAGCUCUGAGUGGUGGCUCCGCAAGUCUGGCAAGUUUGGACCGCUUUCCCCAAUCCCUGCCCCCACCUAGACGAACUCCCGCCCAGAGGGAGCCAGGGAGCCAGUGUGACCCAGGACAGAGUCUUGAAGGACAUCUGAAAUAAGAAUGCCUGAGUCUGAGACAAGAUGGUAUUCAGGUGUCACUGCUGGCCGGUGACAGAUGGAGCUGAAACCCCGGGAACUUGAGACGGAGGACCAACUGAGGCAAGUUAUACAGACCACAGGAGUACACACAAAGCAACUGACUAAGAUAAAGUUGGAUGGCUGUCAGGGGCAGGGAACUAGUAAGAUGGGAUCUAUCAGAUCCCUUAAAUAGAUUUUUAAGACACAGAGAAUUAGAAUAAAACUCCCUAAUCCCUUUACUUUGUAAAACUAAAGAGUUGCUUGGAAAAAUUAAAGCAGCCAAACAGGUAAAAAAAAAAGGUACUUCUAAGGUUAUUUCAAAUGUUCAUAAAGGAGCUCAAACAGAUUUGUGUAAUUUGAGAGCAGAAAAUAAUUUAGGAGCUAGGUAGUGAAGAUGAAACGGAGUCAAAGAAAAAAGCUGCCAAGUCUCAUAAUUCAGACUGGCCUCCUGCGCCUUCCCCUCCACCCCAUGGUUGCGGGUGGCACGGGAUCACUGCAGGAAGAUGUAAUUGUUCUCUGAGAGAAAAAUCCAGUUAAAAAGAGGACAGGUUCAAUUAUUAAAUAUGUAUAAUAAUAAUAAUAGUAAUUAAUAAUUUUAAUAUAACACAAAAGGAGUAUUCAUUCAGAGUGGACUUUCUUUUGUGCAACAGUUGGCUUUUGAGAAUGUUAAUUCAGCCUGUAAAACAGCUAUUAGGCCCUAUCAAACUAAAGCGAACUUAACUGGUUAUAUUAUACUUUGUGCUGAUAUUGGGCCGCUCUUGACUAUCAUGGUUAAAAUUACGGCUAAAUCCAGUAAAAAGAGUUUUAUUUGUCCGUUUAAAUAUAUGGUCAUCUUAAAUGGUUAAUAUUUAUCUAGGUUAUAAAUCAAAAGUAAUUAAAUAUAUUUUAAACUUAUAUUCAAGCUGUUGUUUAGAAUAUAUAUAUGCAUAUAUGUUUAUAAGGUCUGUAAACAUAUAUGUGUAAAAGGCAACCAUAUGAUAAAAUUCUGUCAUCUUUGCUAUAUGAUAUGGGUUAAAAAAUUAUUAUAAAACCUUUUAGUUAACAUAAAUUUUGUUUCCUUUUAGACUGAAAAGACAAGUCUCAUUUUAAAUUGGUGUUGGUUUUAAAAAAUUGGAUUGUUUGCACUGGUAAAUUUUGAAGUUUGGUUUUGACUUUUAAAAUUAUCAUCAUGCUUUAUGAUUUCACUCCUAAAGAGGAUGCUUUGUUUUAAUAUUGCAAAAACAGGUUUUAAAAAUUAUUUAAAUGUUUAAAAAGCAGGUACCAAGGUUAUUUCUUGUCUUUGUCUUUGUUUUUUUUUUUUGUUUUUUUUUUUGUUUGUUUGUUUUUGUCUGCCGGCUGUGUGUUUUGGUUUCUGGUUUCUGUUUGCUCGGGAAGCUCGGAGAGUUUCCAAUUUAGUGUAGGGAAUCUGGAGGACGCUCCGAUUCCCAGGAAGGGGGUCCAUGAGGGGGUCCACUCCUUCUGGAAUCUGUGGGACUUGUAUCCAGUAGGGGCCGGUCAAGUCCUGGUAUUUGGGUAUUCUGGUUACUCCAAGGUGACAAUGUCGGAUUUCUAUGUUCGUUAUGUAUGUGUAUGUGUGUAUGUUUAUCUGUGUAGGUAUGUUUAUCUGUAGACUUGUACUAACAAUACUAAUAUUUUUGGACAUGAGACAGUUUAAAUCAGCACCUCUGAGUUUGAUCCUGGACCAUUGGAGUUACAUUCUAUAAACUGGAAACAGUUUCUCAACCCUUUGGGGGGGAAGGUCAAAAGACCUUGGUAUUCAUUUUAUUAAUUUUGCAAAGUAAAAUCAAGCCAUGCUGUUUGAGCCAAUUAAAAAAAAACUGCAGUUAUUAUGAUGUAUCAUAUCAGAAAAAAACCUAUAAAAUAUGUUGCUCUUCAUUUAAAAAGGAUGGAGAUUCUUCAAUGCAAAAUGUUUGUUUAUGCUCUUUUAAAGAAAACAAAACAAAAAAAAGGACUGCAGCUCCAUAUUAGCUCAGGAUUAUACAGGGUUAUAUUCAGAUCAUUGUUAAUCAUUAUAGGGCAUAUAGUUCCCUCUUAACUCAACAUGGAAUACGCCCAUAUUUAUAAUUAAAAAAAAUCUAACAAAUUUAGAUUAUUACAAGAUUUUUAAAAAUGAGACUAUAAUAAGUAUGAAAACAUUGCAACCAGGACUCCCAUCACCUAGUGGGAUUUCUCAAAACACUUACAAGAUUAUUUUAAAUUUAAAAGACUGUUUUUUUUUUUCCAUUCCUUUGCAUCCUGAGGAUUGCCAUAGAUUUGCUUUUAGUCUCCCUUCUAUUAUUUUAAGGAACCUAUAAAACGUUAUCAUUGGAGUAUGCUACUACAGGGCAUGGCAAAUAGUUCUACUUUAUGUCAACAAUUUGUAGUUAAUGCUAUUAGUCCAGUAUGGAAAAAAAAUGGCCUUCUAUUUAUAUCAUUCAUUAUAUGGAUAAUAUUUUAUUAACCUCUCCCAUAGCUCAGGAUGUUAUGGCUUGCUAUACAGAUCUAUUUAAGGCUUUGUUCCAAGCAGGAUUAAAAAUUACUCCAAGAAAGGUACAAACUAGAGAUCCUUAUAGUUAUUUAGGUUUUAACCCUCUGGCUAUUAAACAUCAAAAAGUACAAAUUAAAAAAAUUUAAAGACUCUUAAUGAUUUUCAAAAAUUAUUGGGAGAUAUAAAUUAGCUUAGACCAUAUCUAAAAUUAACCACUGGACAACUUAUGCCAUUGCUUAAUGUUCUUAAAGGGGAUUUAGCUCCUACCUCCUCCCAAAACAAAUUGACUCCAGAGGCUCAAGAUACAUUAUUAAUAAUAAUAAAGGCUUUAAAAAAUCAAUUUGUAACACAUUGGGAUCCAGAUAGUCCUCUCCUAUUACUUGUAUUUCAAACACAGUCAACUCCUACUGGAUUGUUAUGGCAAUCUAAUCCUCUGUUGUGGAUCCGCUUGUCAGCUAGUCCCAAUAAAGUUAUUUUACCUUAUUAUGAGGCUAUUGCCUAAGUCAUUGUGUUGGGAUGCACUCAGGCAAGGGCUUACUUUGGGAUUGAGCCUUCCAAGAUUAUUAUACCAUAUAGUAAAGCUCAGACUAAUUGGCUUUAUGCCAAUUCAGAUAAAUGGUUACUUUCUUUGGCUACAACUAGAUAAUCAUUACCCUUCCAAUAAGAUUAUUCCAUUUUUUACUUUACAUAGUAUUGUUUUUCCUACCAUAGUUAAAAAUAAACCUUUUAAAUGCUUGUUCUAUUUUUUCUGAUGGUAAUGCUAAAGAAAAAGCUGACUAUACUGUUAAUAGACAAAAAGUUAUUUUUCAAGUUCUAUGGUUAUCUGCUCAACUUGCAAAAUUGAUGACUAUCCAUGCAGUUUUAUAAAAUUUUUCUGAGCCUUUUAAUUUGUUUACUGAUAGUGCUUAUAUUGCUCAAGCUAUUCCUCAGCUAAAACAGCAAGCCAGAUUCUUUCUACCACUUGGGCUAGUCAAAUGUUUGCUCAGAUUCAAGGACUUAUUCAGGCUCAUCAUAAUCCUUUUGCUAUUGUUCAUGUUAGAGCCCAUUCUGGUCAUCCUGGACCUCUUGCUUUAGGUAAUCAGACUAUUGAUAAAGCCUUAAUAACCUUAGCUCAAGAAACACCUAUACAAAAAGCUCAAUUGGCUCAUAAAUUACAUCAUCUUAAUAGUCACUCCUUAUGUUUAACUUAUGGCCUUACCAAAAUACAAGCAAAAAAAAAAUUGUUAAAAAAUUAUAACAAUUGUGAUGUUUUCUGUCCAGUACCUCAUCUUGGGGUUAAUCCCUGAGAGCUGACCCCAGGUCAGCUAUAGCAAAUGGAUGUGACUCAUCUUAUAAAAUUAAAAAAAAAUUAAAAUUUAUUCAUGUAACAAUUAAUACCUGUACAAGAUUUAUUUUUGCUACCUUGCAUUCUAGAGAAGCUGCGCACCAUAUUAUAGACCAUUGUUUGGCUGCAUUCGCUGUUCUUGGCAUGCCACACCAAAUUAAGACUGAUAAUGGAACAGCUUAUACCAACAAGCCCUUUCAAUUUUUUUUGUAAACAAUUAAAUAUUAAGCAUGUAACAGGUAUUCCUUAUAAUCCUAUGGGCCAAGGCAUGGUUAAACAUGCCCAUGCCACCAUUAAGAUAUAUUUACAAAAGACAAAAAAGGGGGAAUUAUGUCCUCCUUGUUUAUCCAGAGCUCAAUUAAAUUUUUUAACUUUGGACAAAUAUGGCAAAUCUGCAGCUAAACAUUUUUGGCACCCUAAAACCUCCAUGGAGGGACCCCUUGAAUAAUACAUGUCAUGGACCCGACCCCAUUUUAAUUUGGGGACGAGGAUAUGUUUGUGUUUUUUUUGCAGGUUAAAAAUGCUGCUUGAUGGCUGCCAGAGAGACUGAUGUGACAAGUGGAUUACUUCAAGGAACAAGAUCAUUCUCCAAGUGACGAUAUUGCUGAUCCUGCUGCAGCUGAUUCAUCCAGUGAAAGCUAAAUUACACUUUUAGGCCUUAGUAUCCAAUCCCCCUCUUGUUCUCCCUGUACAUGUUAGCACACCUUUGUUUGGCUGGUCUGGUACUAUUCAUCUUUGUCAUUGACAGAUGUGUCCACUUAGCUCAACAGAGCCAAGCUAGAUUUAAUGCCAUUGAAACAGCAGCAUGCUGUGACUCCCUCGCCCCAGGUAGGGGCUUGGCUUGCCCAGCUCAAACGUCAGCUUUAACCUCUCCUUUCCUGUGUGAUGGGCCGGUUAGUCAAUGACGGGUUCUGGGUGAUCGGAUAUUUAUCAACCUAAGACACGGAAAUCUCCCUAUAAGUGGGAUACUCCCAUGACGGGUAAGAUAUUUAUUGGGAAUCACCCCUACCUAAGACAGGCACGGUCCCUUUGUUUUAAUUUGAAAGGGAGGAAUUGUGGCAGCCUUUUUGGAGUUAAUGGCAAAUUUGGAGUUAAUGGCAUCUGAGCAGUGGAAUUCGGUCUCUUAGCUUUGGCUAUUUUCCAAAGUUCAGUUUCUCAUAAACUGACCUAGGUGGUCCUACAGCGGACUGCUUUGACCCUGAGAAACUCUGUGCAACCAUAGUAACCAGACAGCAUGCUCUGUGUAACCUUGAGUGAGCUCUCCUAUGUUUUGACCAAGUAAAGCUCCUAGGUGAGAAACUGCUUGUACUUUUUUGCCUACUUAAGUGUUAACCUGACGUCUGUUAAAUCGACACCUGGAUCAGCAUUAGACUUGGUGUCCUUCUCUGUGUCACCCUGUCUCUCUCUCUCCCAACCCUCUCUCAGAUGGUAUUCAGGUGUCACUGCUGGUCGGUGACACCUUCCCUACCCAGACACCCCAGCUCAUCUAUUCACCUGAGGACUGAGUUCAUCUUCCUCCCCUGUGGCCUGGUAGAGAAGUCCCAUCAACGGGAAGUGAUCAAAAGUUCACACAUCUGAAAGACUAAGACUGACCUGAAUUCUGGAAGUCCCAGCAAGACCACAGCCAGGACCUAGGGAAACAGUGGUGGAGGUGCAUGCAGCACAGCUUUGGGUGCAAUGGUCACCGAGACUGGACGUGUGUGCUGCCCCUGACUAUGCAAAAAUGUUCACUGGGACAUCUUCACAUUCAGCACCUGGCCAGACAGUGGAACAUAGCAAAUCUUUGUUGAGUGAAUCAGAAUAUUUUGGCUUUUAAAAUUUCUGACACUGAUAGGGGAGGUCCUCUCCACUUUCAUCUGAGAGGGGGCUACAGCUGAGGUACAAAGUGAAUAAAUUGUAAUAAAUAAAAAGGAAAAUAAAUAAAUAAACAAAUUUUCUGA